rnacentral:misc_RNA from 1 species
GCCAAGCCGUAAAAUUAACCUACACCAACCAACGCCAGGGAACUACGAGCCUCAGCUUAAAACCCAAAGGACUUGACGGUGUCCCACCCUACUAGAGGAGCCUGUUCUAUAACCGAUAACCCACGCUAUACCCAACCAUUCCUUGCCUCUCAGCCUGUAUACCUCCGUCGCAAGCCUGUCAUGUGAAUGCACAACAGCAAGCCCAACGGCCAAACGCCAAUACGUCAGGUCAAGGUGCAGCUCAUGAAAUGGAAGCCAAUGGGCUACAAUUUCUAUUUUAGAAUAAACGAAAUACUACAUGAAACUAAGUCAUGAAGGCGGAUUUAGCAGUAAAUGGGGAAUAGAGAGCCCCAUUUAACCCGGCCCUGGGACGUGUACAAACCGCCCGUCACCCUCUUCAAUAGUACCCCACCCCGCAUCAUAUCCCUCACCCACGCCCUAGAAGAGGCAAGUCGAAACAUGGUAAGCGUACUGGAAAGUGCGCUUGGAACAACAAAAUGUAGCUUAGCAAAAGCUCCUCGCUUACACCGAGAAGACGUCUGUUCAACCGGAUCAUUUUGAGCCCGCUAUCUAGCCCCCCCCGCCCCGACACAUAUCCUAUACCCAGAAUGACGAAAAUAAAACAUUUUAACUUUUUAGUAGAGGUGAUCAAAAUCUAUCUAAGCGCUUUAGAGAAAGUACCACAAGGGAAAAAUGAAAUAAAAAUGAAAUAAAUUCAAAGCCUAGAGCAGCAGAGACCCCAACUCCUACCUUUCGCAUCAUGGCCUAGCCAGUCUAACCAAGCAAAAUGAAAAUUUUAGUUUGACCCCCCGAAACUAAGCGAGCUACUUCAGAACAGCCCCAAGAGCCAACCCGUCUCUGUAGCAAAAGAGUGGGAAGAUUUUUUAGUAGAAGUGACAAACCUACCGAGCUUAGAGAUAGCUGGUUACUCGGGAAAAGAAUUUUAGUUCUGCCUUAAGCCGCCCAUGUCAUCAAACACAGACUUAAGAGUUACUCAAUUAAGGUACAGCUUAUUUGAGACAGGACACAACCUAUGCAGCAGGGUAAAAAUCUUACCCGCAUGCACAGUAGGCCUAAAAGCAGCCACCUUAAAAAGCGUUAAAGCUUAACAUGACACCUCCCCAAUCCCACCAGUAAUCAUGACCCCCCCCACCCCACCGAGUGAUCCCAUAAGUAUAUGGUAAACACCAUGCUAGGACUAGUAACAAGAAUACAAAAUUCUCCAAAAUGCAAGUAUACACCAGAACGGACGCCCCACUGGCAAUUAACGAAGAUGAACUAACUAUGGCAACAUCAACAAGAAAACCCCACAACAAUCCACCGUUAACCUAACACUAGAGCACUCCAGGAAAGAUUAACAGAGAAGGAAGGAACUCGGCAAAUCUCUACCCCGCCUGUUUACCAAAAACAUCGCCUCUUGACCCGCUAUAAGAGGUCCAGCCUGCCCAGUGAUAAAAUUCAACGGCCGCGGUAUCCUAACCGUGCAAAGGUAGCACAAUCACUUGUUCUUUAAAUAAGGACUCGUAUCAACGGCACCACGAGGGUUGCACUGUCUCCCCCCUCCAAUCAGUGAAACUGAUCUCCCCGUGAAGAAGCGGGGAUCUACCCAUAAGACGAGAAGACCCCAUGGAGCUUAAAACUACCAGCAACUCAACUACACACCACCCACAACCUACAGAGACCUGCGUGCCAGUUUUCGGUUGGGGCGACCGCGGAGCAAAAAUUAACCUCCACAACGAAAAGA